GCUCUUUAGCGAAUGGACUACACAUAUUAGUCUAGUCGGGCGUUUAGCCAGACUGAAAUUUAUUGAACGAC
rnacentral:sRNA from 17 species